AAGAAUACUGAAGCGAGUUGCCAUUUUCUUCCUCCAGGGGAUCUUCCCAACCCAGGGAUUGAACCCAUAGCUCCUGCAUUGGCAGGCAGAUUUUUUUACCACUGAGCCAACAGGGAAGCCCAAAUAACAUUGUACCCCAUGUUUACAAAGUGGUUUCCCAUUAUCUCACCUGAUCAUCACUAGAGCUUGAUGAAAUAAACAGAACCAGUUGUUACUGGUAUUUGAUAAUAGUGAUAGAAGGAAUACAGACUUUCCCAAAGCCUCAGGAGUGAAGACUAAAAUCCAGGCUGUCUGGUCCCAGCAGAGCUCCCGUUCUAUGAACCCAGACUGCUGCUCUGCUCCAAUCCUAGGGUUCCAGUUGCUCUCCAGAUCCUAGUCAGUCCUCAGUAUGGCCAGUCUUUUUUUAAAAAUUUUGUCCAUUCUAGUGGGUGUAUAGUAUAACACUUUGUGUUUCUAAUUUGCUUUUUCUUAAAGCAAUUUUUAUAUGCUCAUUUGCAAUCUAUAUAAAUUCUUUGACAAUAUCUUUGUUCAAAUAUUUCAUGUGUGUUUUAUUAGGCUGUUUUUCUUAUUGCAUUGUAAGAGCUGUUUAUAUAUGCUGGGUAAAAAGCCUUUGUUAGAUAGAUGUUUUACCAAUAUUUUCUUAAUCCAUGGCUUGCCUUAUUUUCUUUAGAGUGUAAUUCAAAGAGCAGAAGUUUUUAAUUUAAUGAAGUCCAGUUUAUUCAUUUUUUUAAAUUUAUACUCUGCUUUUGAAGUCAUAUUUAAGCAAUCUUAAGAAAGCCAAGGUUAUUAAAAUUUUCUCAUAUUUUCUUCAACUAAAACACUCCUUUAGUGCUAUAAAUCUUCCAAGUUUUAUAUUAGAAGCAUCCCACAAUUUUUAUAUUUUAUCUUUUCACUUUCAUUCAGUUCAAAUCUUUCUAAAUUCCCUUUUGAUUUCUUCUUUAACCUUUGGGUUGUUCAAAAUUGUGUUAUUUUGUUUCAAUAUACUGGGAAUUUUCUAAAGAUCUUUGCUGUUCAUUUCUAAUGUAUGGUUAAGAAAGUAUUCUUUUUUUUUUUUUUUUAAAAAAAGAAAGUAUUCUUUAUAUGAAUUGAAACCUUUUAAACUUAUUGUGACUUUAAAAAAUGUUUUGUGUACCCCUGAAAACCGCACAUGCUGCUCAUAUUAGGUGGCAUGUGCUAUACAUAUCAGUCAGGUCAAGUUGGUUGAUAUUUUUGUUCAAAUAUACUGUAUCCUUACCUAUUUUCUGCCUCUUUAUUUUAUAAAUUAUUGAGAGAGGAGGAUUGAAAGUUCCAACUGUAACUGAAUUUGUUUCACUUGGCAGUUGCUUCAGGUUUUGCUUUAUGUUUUUUGAGACUGUGUUAUUAAAUGCAUAAACGUGAGACGAUUAUGUUCCUCUGAUGAAUUGGCCUCUUUUUCUUUAUGAAAUGAUAGUCUUUAUCCCUGAUAGAUUUUUUUGAGGGAGAGGGGGCUCUGAAAUAUUCAUUGUGUGAUAUUGUUAUAGCCCCUCUCGCUUCCUUUAGACCCUAGCUGAUACUGGAUUGUGAGGUUGUACACACUGACUAGUGGGAACUCAGACUUUUCCCAGCCCUCUCUGCGCCCCAGUGAUUGUUCCUUUUAGGUGGCUCUUACUUUUCCUACACAUAUCUGAUGGUGAACACUCUGCUAAAGAUUUGAGAGGGCCUUCUGCAGAGCCCUGGCAGUCUUGGAACUCUCUAAUACUCUGUCCUGUAACUCUAAGCCUCUCUAUCUUCUGGACUCCCUCAGCUCCCUCUGAGUCUCCUCUCCACACUGUGGCCUAAAAAACUCUUCACAUUAAUCUGGGCACUUAAUCCUUCCUAAAAGAUGACUGUUCUGUAGUACCAGUGCCCAGUAUCUGAAAAUACAAAUGUGGCCCCGCUUCUUAGUUGUUUCAGGUCAAAAACUAAACCUGGUCCCUCUUACUCCAUCUUGGCUAUCUUAGUUAUAAGCAGAAGUCCCUUAUUCUCCUUAUAUUUGAAGCUAUAAACUGUAAAUUUGAAGAGGGAGGGAUCGAGGAAGAAACGGAAGGAGAGAGGAAGACUGAGACUUAGAAGUCCAAAAUUCCCUCAGAGAAGACUCUGCAGUGUUUUAAUUAUCUUAAGCCUUUAAUGAACUUCAACUUCUUGAAAUUUUAAAUGGUCUGCCUUGAAUAUACAUGGUAUCACUCAUGUUCUCAUGUUGAAAGCCCUUAUGGCUGCAGUUUGCCCUAAGAGUAACAUAUGUACCUGUCAUAGAUAAGGGUGUCAGGCUUAUAUAUGUUGAGUAUAUACAUACCAAAUACAGUAUAAAAGAAAGGAAUGUAGGUUUUUUUUUUGGUGAAUGUUUGUCCUAGAACUUAAUUAUGUGCAUGUGUACUAAGUCGCUUCAGUUGUGUUGACUCUUUGCAACCCUAUGAACUAUAGCCCGCCAGAUUCCUCUGUCCAAGGGAUUCUCCAGGCAAGAAUACUGGAGUGGGUUGCUGUGCCCUCCUCCAGAGGAUCUUCCCAACUCAGGAAACAGCUGAGAGGAGAUGGUCCCUUUUUGAGGACAACUGUGUUCCUUGACCAGACUGCCUUACCAAGGUGUGUGGACCAGAAGAAAAGGAAGGAGGCAGAGCCAGACAUCUUUUGAGUCAAUUUUUGACAAGAAAGAAUCCCUGAAUUCUCAACAAUACCAAAUCCCAGUGAACUGCAGGGAGUGUUCAAAGCCUGCCGAAUACCUGACUACCAGCCCAUUGUUGAAUUGUUUUGCAACAAAAGGCACCCCAGUUGCCAGACUGAAAGUCGUCCAGAAAUAUAAGCCAAAAUAAAACAGAUUAGUUUCAUGACCCACUGAAACGGUAACACAUAGGCUAAACAAGUAUUAGUAAGCAGUGAGGCACCACAGAUAACCCCAAGAAGAGGUCAAAGGUCAGCUGUAAUGAAUGUGUCAGGACCAAGUUUGGGCGAUGCCCCGGCCAUGUGGUUGCCUCUGCUGUCAGACAACUAGGUCAGCUUUAGUCAGGACUCAGAAGUUUGGCGUGCAAGGGUAGCCUGUGGAUCAAAAACAUAAGUUCUUUUACUUUGUGUCCAACAUAAUGGUUAAUGUGUCACCUGUCUAGUCUAAUGAUGGUUCAAGUAAGCAACGCUGACAGUCUGGCAGUGCAGGCUCAACCAGGAGCUUGAUUCCAGUCAGUUUCAGCAGCAAAUGGGUCCCCCUACAUGCAUGACUCAGACAGUUCAAUCAGCAGGCACUAUUUGUUUCCUAGGUUAGCAGUGCCAAAGGGGUUUGUCUUGAAUCUUCCAGUCUGUGGUUUUUCCAAGUGACAGUCCAAAUAAUCAGGCCAUGGCCACAACCCAAGAAUCAGUAAAAAUAUAAUGAGAUUUAUCAAGUGUCAUAUUUGCCAAAGCUAUAAUAAUGACCUUGAGUUUCUUGAGCAGAAUGACCCUGUCCACUUUGAAUUCUGAAUACGCUGGCCCUGAGCCUGACCGUUUGCAGCUGCCCAGUGGACAUCACCACAUGUCAGCUUAGCCAAACCAUCAGUGAAGCAGGCCCAGACAUUAUGGGGAACCUCUGUGAAUCAAGGGUGCCGUUGAGCCAGCAACAUUGCUACAGGUGGGGAGUGGAAUAGCUGCCAUUUUUUCAUGUAGUGCCAAGAUGCUUCUGGGGCCAGGCUGGCUGCAUGUUCGAAGGUACCAUUUCCAUUACUGGAUCCUUUUCACUUUGUUAGUCACUGAGUCUGUCGAUCUAUCCCAAAAUGGAAAUACCAGGACAGAGAAUCACAGUUCCUCCAGGGGUCAGGCACUCAGUUUCAAUAAGAGCUCAAUAGUAAGCUGACAGUUGCUUUCAGAAGAGAGAAAACUGGUAGUUGUGUCUAGGAGGCAAUGAAUCUCAACCCUAAAGGGCACCUCCAAGUGGAGGCCACCUCCCUUUGCUGGAAGCUCCUGUUAGCAGCAUCAUCAGUCACAGAGACUUGUAGCUCAAAGGGAUCAUUGAAAAUGUAGGGCCCUAGAAGUAUCAGCACCUCUCUACAUGCAGCUCUUCCCAAACAGGAAGAACCCCUUUUGGAUCUUAUUGGCAUUUACAAUAUAAGCAUGUAAAACAUAAUUACCAGUUACACAUUCAGCAGUGGAAGCCAGAUAAUAAUACAUUGAAUACAUUCAAUAAUACAUUGAAUCAACACAGAGGACUCCACUCUGUGGGUCAUAUUAACUUCCCUUUGUUACUGUGAACUCUGUCCAAACCCCAGCAGUUGAAUUUGGCCAUACACUCACUAAUGGGACCCAGUUGGAUGGUAACGUAGUUGCCAGUAUCCACUAGAGCCACAAAAGUUUGAAUUGCUUCUCUUCCAGACAUUCCCUAACCUAUUUGAUAGAUUGUGACUUCUCAUCCCUUUUGGGAACACAGCAAUGUUACCUAGCCCCUAACCGUCUUGCUCCUUAAACCAGCUGAGUGAAAGGAGACAAGAGGGUCACAGGGGUGUGAUGAGGGAGACUGACUCCACGCAGUAGCAGUCAAGAAGUCACGUUUCAGUUUUGGGAGGCGUGCAAUAAUUUAUUUAGAUUGUUGGAGUCUGUUUCUCGGUCUUUAGGGGAUCAACCUCAUCAGCAUUGUCAACCAAGUGUAAGCCAAUAGAAGCCUGAAUAGCAGUCAAUGACCUAUCUGUGGUUUCCAAUGGGAAAUUGUCUCAGAGAAAUUUUCCCAGCGGGCCAAAGCUCCCUGAAAGCAGGCAGGGCCCACUGCAAAAAAGUAAAACAAAGCUCCAAGGCCUUUUACUCCUUUCUUCAAAUAGAUCUAAGUUUGGCAUAAGAGAUUGCAAGAGGGUCUGAGCCAUAAGCCAGCCCAGCUGUCCUCUUCCUCCCUAGGGAGCAUCCGUGCAGGCUCCUCCCCAUCUACCAGAUGAACCAGAGAACAUUCUAAAGACUUGCCUGAAAUCUCCUCAAAGGAACUGUGAAUUUCACUCCAUUUAUAUUCAAGGCAGGUACUUGUCUCUGUAACUGUUAUCUGAAAGAGAAAAGACCCUUCUGCUCGUACAGAAUGAAUGUUAGUAUCAGUUAUUCUAAAGGGGUGGGCCCACGACUGUGAUUGACCAAGGUCCUUCCACUGGAGGAGAAUUAGCUAUGAACAGGGUACCAAUUGGAUAGUUGUCUGGAUCCCAUUCGUUAGCCCACAACGGCCUCCCUGAUUGUAACUGAACACAAGUGUGUAUGCCCGAUGCACAGUGAGGCCAAACUAAAUGAAAACUCAAGAGUCUGGAGCAGAGAAAGGUUUAUUGCAGAGCCAUGCAAGGAGACAGGUGGCUCGUGGCCAAAGAACUCCAAACUCUUUGAAGGGUUUCAGCAAAACACUUUUAAAGGCAAGGUGAGGGAGGGGUGUGGUUAGUUGUGGCAAACUUCUUGGUGUAGGAAUCCUCUGUUCUUGCAGCUGCCCAUGUAUGUCAGGUCAGUAUGUUCCUAUAAAUCUCCAACAAGACAACUGUUACUCUCUGCUCUGCAACUUUUUUAUCUCUGUAAACAGAGGUCAGAGCCCUGAGAAUAGACUAUUCUCUACAGUUCAGGGUAUAGGCAACAGUGGUGCUGAGCCAGCAUGACUCGGCACAGGAAGAGGACUAGAUCCAAUAUGGAGUCAGGUCUGUUCCUCUCUAUUAUAUAAUUUCUCCUUGUUCAGAGCAACUAGAAGACCAUUUGACCAUACAAUUUGUUCAGUGUGUUUGCUGCCAUUUCCCUUGGACUUCCCUCAGAUUCUGCUCACCACCCUGCAAAGCUUCGUUCUUUCCUUUCUAGAAAAUGAGUGACAUUUGAUUUGAAAUAUUGGGUGCAUAUUUUACUAAAAUGUAAAAUAUUUUAAAAUACACUUUCUUUGUGCUUAUAUACAUUACCUUUGUGAUAUGAUUUCGACCUUUUAGUCCUGGAUUGGUUGCAAAAGCCAUAUGUGAUUUUUAUAUUGGGAAUAGAAUUAAUGGGUCUAUGAUGAAUAGUGGACAUCCUGUUUUGAAGAAAUCAUAUUUUGGGCAAAAUGCCCAUAAGAGACAUGUUUUUGCCAAUAGUUUAGUUCAGAGCCUCUGGGAUCUUUCAUUCCUUUUUUUUAAGAAAUGAUGAGAAAGUUUGAUGCUUUUUUAUUCUAUUUUGAAUUCACUUUAGAGCUGAUUUCAAAACAGCUUGUUAUUUCAGUUUUUGUUAUUAUAAAAAAUUCAUACUUA